rnacentral:rRNA from 1 species
AUCCCAUCCCGAACUCAGUAGUGAAACGAUGUAUCGCCGAUGGUAGUGUGGGGUUUCCCCAUGUGAGAGUAGGUCAUCGUCAAGA